rnacentral:rRNA from 1 species
UACGAAGGGGACUAGCGUUGUUCGGAAUCACUGGGCGUAAAGCGCACGUAGGCGGAUAUGUCAGUCAGGGGUGAAAUCCCGGGGCUCAACCUCGGAACUGCCCUUGAUACAGCAUAUCUUGAGUCCGAUAGAGGUGGGUGGAAUUCCUAGUGUAGAGGUGAAAUUCGUAGAUAUCCGCAAGAACACCAGUGGCGAAGGCGGCUCACUGGCCCGAUACUGACGCUGAGGCACGAAAGCGUGGGGAGCAAACAGG